CCUACGGGUGACAGCAGUGGGGGAUAUUGCACAAUGGGGGAAACCCUGAUGCAGCGACGCCGCGUGUGGGAAGACGGUCCUCUGGAUUGUAAACCACUGUCCCCAGGGACGAAGAUGACGGUACCUGGGGAGGAAGCUCCGCCUAACUACGUGCCAGCAGCCGCGGUAAUACGUAGGGAGCGAGCGUUGUCCGGUAUUACUGGGUGUAAGGGGAGGGUAGGCGGGACGGCAAGUUGGGUGGAAAACCUACCGGCUCAACCGGUAGCCGCACUCAAAACUGCAGGUCUUGAGUGAAGGAGAGGCAGGCGGAAUUCCUAGUGUAGCGGUGAAAUGCGUAGAUAUUAGGAGGAACACCAGUGGCGAAGGCGGCCUGCUGGGCUUUUACUGACGCUGAGGCUCGAAAGUGUGGGGAGCAAACAGGAUUAGAUACCCGAGUAGUC
rnacentral:rRNA from 1 species